rnacentral:ncRNA from 1 species
AUCAUUGCUAUGAAGAGGACAGUAAUAGAAAGAUAACCUUUACAGAGAGAUAAUCAUGUGGUGCGAGAUUAUUAUGGAGCUUUUUAUGAAAAUCACCUUGGAGCAGAGGAUCUGAAACAGCAGUAGGGUUCUCCGUAGACAUACGUUAUCAUGUAUCUGAGUGACAAGAUAAGAAAUUUAUCUUGUAAGCAGGGUGGUACCGCGGUUUAUUCGCCCCUAGA